rnacentral:rRNA from 1 species
AACGAACGCUGGCGGCAGGCCUAACACAUGCAAGUCGAACGCCCUAGCAAUAGGGAGUGGCAGACGGGUGAGUAACACGUGGGAAUAUCCCCCUCAGUACGGAAUAGCCCAGGGAAACUUGGAGUAAUACCGCAUACGUCCGUGAGGAGAAAGAUUUAUCGCUGAGGGAUUAGCCCGCGUCGGAUUAGCUAGUUGGUGAGGUAACGGCUCACCAAGGCGACGAUCCGUAGCUGGUCGGAGAGGACGACCAGCCACAUUGGGACUGAGACACGGCCCAAACUCCUACGGGAGGCAGCAGUGGGGAAUAUUGGACAAUGGGCGCAAGCCUGAUCCAGCCAUGCCGCGUGAGUGACGAAGGCCUUAGGGUUGUAAAGCUCUUUUGGCGGGGACGAUAAUGACGGUACCCGCAGAAUAAGCCCCGGCUAACUUCGUGCCAGCCGCCGCAGUAACAC